UACGGCUACAUCACGUUGAAACACUAGCUCCCGUGCGGUCACUGAUGUUAAGCAACGUCGAGUCUAGUCCGUACCGUGAUGGGUGUCAGCUUGGGAAUACCAGGUGAUGGAA